ACCAUAAAGAUAACCAUAGGAGCAACAACAUUAGGAUCUACACAUCCUAUUUCACGAGACCCAAAGGCAAAUUAUUUACCUCAUUUUGUAAGCAUUUUUUUAAAAUAUUCAAUUUUUGUUGGAAAUAAAGAACCAUCACAUCCAAUCUUCAAUUCUUCAAAAGUCUCUUUUGUAAACUAAUUUCCAAUCUUCUUUGGAUUUCUUAAACUCUCUUCUUUUGAUGCUUCUUUCAUUUGCUCCUUAGAAUCUUCUAGUAAAGGUCCGGCAACAGGUUUUACCUUUUUAUCUACUAUUUUAUAUUUUAUUCCUACAAAAACUUCUGGUGCUUGAAAAGAUUCAAGUAUAGUAUAAACCUCCCUCGAAUGAAUUUCCACAAUUUUAUUAUUAUCUCCUAAUUCAAUAGAUGCAAUUAAUUCCAAAAAAUCCUCCAAUCCA
rnacentral:lncRNA from 1 species